rnacentral:rRNA from 1 species
UACCUGCAGCUCAAGUAGUGACCACUAUUAUUGGGCCUAAAACGUUCGUAGCCUGUUUGGUAAAUGCCUGGGUAAAUCGUGUAGCUUAACUAUACGAAUUCCGGGUAGACUGCCAAACUUGAAACCGGGAGAAGCUAGAGGUACUUCUGGGGUAGAGGUGAAAUUCUGUAAUCCUAGGGGGACCACCAGUGGCGAAGGCGUCUAGCUAGAACGGGUUUGACGGUGAGGAACGAAGCCCUGGGGCGCAAACCGGAUUAGAUACCCGGGUAGUCCAGGGUGUAAACGCUGCUUGCUUGAUGUUAGUUGGGCUCCGAGCCCAAUUAGUGUCGGAGAGAAGUUGUUAAGCAAGCUGCCUGGGAAGUACGAUCGCAAGAUUGAAACUUAAAGGAAUUGGCGGGGGAGCACAGCAACGGGUGGAGCGUGCGGUUU